AGUCGAGCGCCCAGCAAUGGGAGCGGCAGACGGGUGAGUAACGCGUGGGGAUCUACCCAUUGGUACGGAAUAACCCAGGGAAACUUGGACUAAUACCGUAUGUGCCCUUCGGGGGAAAGAUUUAUCGCCAAUGGAUGAACCCGCGUCGGAUUAGCUAGUUGGUGGGGUAAAGGCUCACCAAGGCGACGAUCCGUAGCUGGUCUGAGAGGAUGAUCAGCCACACUGGGACUGAGACACGGCCCAGACUCCUACGGGAGGCAGCAGUGGGGAAUAUUGGACAAUGGGCGCAAGCCUGAUCCAGCCAUGCCGCGUGAGUGAUGAAGGCCUUAGGGUUGUAAAGCUCUUUCGCCGGUGAAGAUAAUGACGGUAACCGGAGAAGAAGCCCCGGCUAACUUCGUGCCAGCAGCCGCGGUAAUACGAAGGGGGCUAGCGUUGCUCGGAAUCACUGGGCGUAAAGCGCACGUAGGCGGAUCGUUAAGUCAGGGGUGAAAUCCUGGGGCUCAACCUCAGAACUGCCCUUGAUACUGGCGAUCUCGAGUUCGAGAGAGGUUGGUGGAACUCCGAGUGUAGAGGUGAAAUUCGUAGAUAUUCGGAAGAACACCAGUGGCGAAGGCGGCCAACUGGCUCGAUACUGACGCUGAGGUGCGAAAGCGUG
rnacentral:rRNA from 1 species